CGCGGGGUGCAUUCGCUGGUCGACCAUGCGGCUGUGUUUGGCGUGUCUGUGGGUCCCGUGGGCUCUGUCUCCUGUGGGGUCGCGGCGCUGCCCGUCGGAACCUUCCCCCAGCGCCUCCCCCGGACUGUUUUGAUCCCAUCUCUUCAUCUCUCUGCUCCCUCUUUGAAUUCAGCCCUCUCGGCGUGGAAGAUCAACAUACGCACAGAGAUGGAUUUGCUUUGGAUUUAAUGCCUGAAUUCGACUUGUCCCAUUUCUGGCCAAUGCCAUUCUACAGAUACUGUGAAGAAUACAGUUGAUCCAAGAUGGAAUCAGCAUUAUGACCUGUAUAUUGGGAAGUCGGAUUCAAUUACAACCAGCGUGUGGAAUCACAAGAAAAUUCAUAAAAAACAGGGAGCUGGUUUUCUGGGUUGUGUGAGGCUCCUUUCAGAUACAAUCAACCGCCUUAAAGACACUGGUUUUCGGAGACUGGAUCUGUGCAAGCUUGGUCGGAACCUUCCCCCAGCGCCGCGGGCUGCAGAGAAGCGGCAGCGUCGGACAGGCCGUGGCUCUGUCCCAGGAUGUGCUCACGCAGAUCGGCGGGAUCCAGGCGGCGGAGUCCCGAACGGGCAACGAGAUCCGGACGCUGCAGGAAAGGCUGGAGCAGCUGGAGAGGAGGAGUCCCGGCGGUUCAACCUUACAACUUUCCAGUCUCUUUGCUUUCCUUUUUUCUUUCACUGCUCAGUUACAAUAAAUGAGUUUUAAUUCUGUUUCCGAGAGUCCAUGGAACCUGCUCACCCAAGUGUGA